AGAUAAGUGCUAAAUAAUCCCCAGCUGUAAAAUUCUAAGAAUAAUUAAAACUUCCUUUCUUAACAUUCUUAGUGAACAACUUACAGGUUAAAAAACAAACCCAAAGAGAUUAUUUCCUGCAAAGAGCCUUUAGUAUGGUAGCACCUACUUCUAGAAGGCCUGUCAUAAACUGUCAUCUAGUGAAAGUGAUGAAGAAGAGUGGCUGGGAGUCAAUCUUAUCAGGAGCUGGAACAGGUGAAGCCCUCACCAGUGAAAAAUCUUGACAGAUGCAGCUACUAAGAUUUCCUACUACAAAGAAUAACAGCAGUUAGAAAAGCAGACUCCCUGUGGUGGCGACCAGUAUCUUCAAACUCAUACCAGAGUAAAGCCUGAUCCAUUUGGAGUUCUUUCUGAUGCAUUAUGUGAGAAAAACAAGCAAACAAAUGAACACUUAUUUGUAUUUGAAUUGCACUAAAUUUAUACAUGAAACUGAAAAAAACUGAUAUCUUUAUGAAGCUGCAUAAUCCUAUCCAAGGACAGACGUCUCCUUCCAUUUGCUUUUGCUUUACUAAUUUGAAUCUAUGUUAUUUGUUUUGGAUACAUCUGGAAUUGACUUUUUUGCAUGGUGUAAGAAAUAACAGUUCUUCCUGGAUCAGCCCUCUCCCGUCUGUCAUCUCCAACAGAUACAAAGCCAGCUUUAAGAAGACCAAACCUACAAAAAUCAUUCAUGCUUUCUGCCUCCAUGUUUUUCUUUCCAACCUAGUUCCUCCAGAAAAUGUAAAAGAGCAACCGAACCGUCAACUGGUACAAUGACUUCUACACAUCAGACCUCGGCCACGCCACAGUCAUCAGAUUAUUCUAUCACAGGGUCUCUCAACCGUGGAAUAUGGUCUCCAAGGGAAACAAGCCACAGAGGGCUCAGGAGCAUUGCUAUAAAGAGUAGGCAAAUGGAAAUCUUUCCCCAAAGGGCACACUGGGAUUGUUAGGCGAGGGCUGCUCAAUCCAUUAAAAGUUUAAACUC
rnacentral:lncRNA from 10 species